CCUACGGGAGGCAGCAGUGAGGAAUAUUGGUCAAUGGGCGCGAGCCUGAACCAGCCAAGUAGCGUGAAGGAUGACUGCCCUACGGGUUGUAAACUUCUUCUAUAAAGGGAUAAAGUGAGGCACGUGUGACUUUUUGAAUGUACGUUAUGAAUAAGGAUAGGAGAACUCCGCGCCAUCAGCCGCGGUAAGACGGUGGGUCCGAGCGUUAGUCGGAUUUAUUGGGUUUAACGGGAACGUAGAUGGGUUGUUGAGUCAGUUGUGAAAGUUUGCGGCUCAACCGUAAAAUUGCAAUUGAUACUGGCAGCCUUGAGUACAGUUGAGGUAGGUGGAAUUCGUGGUGUAGCGGUGAAAUGCUUAGAUAUGACGAAGAACUCCGAUUGCGAAGGCAGCCUACUAAACUGCCACUGACAUUGAUGCUCGAAAGUGUGGGUAUCAAACAGGAUUAGAUACCCCUGUAGUC
rnacentral:rRNA from 1 species